ACCAAGUUCCUCCGACGAGGAACGCGCGGACGAGGGAGCAGUACCCGCACGGACAAGACUGACUCAGA
rnacentral:ncRNA from 1 species